rnacentral:rRNA from 1 species
AGGCAGCAGUGGGGAAUAUUGGACAAUGGGCGCAAGCCUGAUCCAGCCAUGCCGCGUGUGUGAAGAAGGCCUUCGGGUUGUAAAGCACUUUUGUUGGGGAAGAAAAGAUUCGGGUUAAUAACCUUGGUUCAUGACGGUACCCAAAGAAUAAGCACCGGCUAACUUCGUGCCAGCAGCCGCGGUAAUACGAAGGGUGCAAGCGUUACUCGGAAUUACUGGGCGUAAAGCGUGCGUAGGCGGUUUGUUAAGUCUGUCGUGAAAGCCCCGGGCUCAACCUGGGAAUGGCGGUGGAUACUGGCAAGCUAGAGUACGGUAGAGGAUGGUGGAAUUCCCGGUGUAGCAGUGAAAUGCGUAGAGAUCGGGAGGAACAUCUAUGGCGAAGGCAGCCAUCUGGACCAGUACUGACGCUGAGGCACGAAAGCGUGGGGAGCAAACAGGAUUAGAUACCCUGGUAG